rnacentral:misc_RNA from 1 species
GGUUGGAGCCAAGAAAGUCAAUGCUAUUUACAUUGAAGUUGGUUUGCUUGAUAUCAGGUGUUUGUGUAAUUGAGGUUGGUUUGCUUGAUGUCAGGUGUUUGUGAAAUUGCGUUAGUUGCCACAGAAUUACUGGUCAAAAGUAAAUUCAUUUCUAGUCCAGAAAUUUCUGUAUAUCUCAUUCCUUGUCAUGAACUGCCAUGAUUUGCUUUGUUGAUAAAUUUUCUUUUUCAUUGACAAAAUUUAUCAGGCAUAUGUGUUGUAUAAACUUUCAGGUCAGAAUGGCUGGAGAUCAAGUUAAACGAGCGACAGAUUUGAACCCAGUACUUUUAGCAGGAUCCAACAUGCCUAGCGUGGGGAUGCAGUUCGUUGCUGGCCAAACGGAUGCAUCUGCAAGAGUUUCUGUGCAGAGGCAACCGAACAACAACCAUUUAUUUCACCGAUCAGUUCCUAAUAUCCCUCAAGUGCUCCACCUCUCCAUGGACUAAGCAAUAGCUGCCCUAACAACAAUUUAACCUCUCCAUCUAACAAAUCCUCGGUGUGAUGAUGGAACAAGUAGUAUUGGUGGAAUGCCCUUUACGCGGCCGUUAACAGCUAGCGGGCAAGCUGUGGCUGACGCUUCUCCACUUGGGGGUGGCCACGGUCCAGGAACCGCCAGUUAUGGUUCCUGAAUCGCCGGUUUAGGUUCAAUGAAAUCAUGAACCUGAACCAAACCGCUAGGGGACGGUUUGAAAGAUGGCUCCUGAAUCGCCGGUUCUGGUUUUGAUUCCUGAACCGCCGGUUCUGGUUUGAGUCCCGGUUUAAAACGGUUUGAAGGGCGGUUCGAAAAAAAUGGUUAAAGAAAUUUGAGGACGGUUUGAAAGUGGUUUAAGGAUGGUUUAAGGGUAAUUUAGACAAAAAAAAUUAAAAAAAAAUUUAUUGAUUCAAAAUUUAAGUUA